rnacentral:sRNA from 1 species
AUGUGUGCAUACAGAUUUGUGGCUUGCAGAUGUUGUACAGGGUCACUUAGUGUCACAUGGGAUUGUAAGGGUUAUGACCCUUGGGUUUUUAAUGGGGAAUCAUCAUUUGCAAAGACUUCUUCUGAAAUUCCUAAUAGUCGUGUCCAAAAAAACCUGAUAGAUUAUGCCGAUCUUCGUGACGUGUUGCAUGACAUGUUCCCCACACAUGAUAUGGCAUUUGGGCCAAUGGAAGAAGUCCCUAUUGUGAACAACCCACAGAAAGUCCUGGAGAAUGCAUUUCAGUUUAUGAAAUUGCUUGAAGAUGCUAAUCAACCUUGUUAUGAAGGUUGUAAGCAUUUUAGCAAAUUGUCAGCCAUUGUGCAUUUGUACUACAUGAAGUGUUUUAAUGGUUGGACUAACAAAUCAUUUACCAUGUUAUUGCAAUUUUUGCUUGAUUUGCUAAGUUGCCAAAUGAUUUUUAUGAAGCUAAGAAGAUUAUUAAGGAUCUGGGCUUGAGCUAUGAAAAGAUUCAUGCUUGUCCUAAAGAUUGUGUUUUAUAUUGGAAGGAGAAUGCCAACCUUGAAGCUUGUCCAAACUGUGGAGUUUGAAGAUGGGAAAUAAUGAGUCUAAAGGUCAACAAAGUACUCAUGCUUCCCCCAAGAAAGGAAAAAAGAGACCUACAAAGAUCCUAUGGUGGUUCUCCUUAAAGCCAAGAUAGAAACGACUUUUUAUGUCUCUUAAAACAGCCAAUCAUAUGAAGUGGCAUGCCAAUGGUCAUGUGAAUGACGAGUUAUUGAGGCAUCCUACUGAUUCUAAAGCUUGGAAAUCAUUUGACUCUAAGUAUAUAGAGUUCUCAUCUGAGCCUCGUAAUGUGAGGCUUGGAUUAGCAGCCGAUGGAUUCAAACUGUAUGGAAAUAUGAGUACUAGUCAUAGUAUGUAGCCUGUCAUUUUGAUCCUAUACAAUCUCCUUCCAUGGAUGUGCAUGAAAAGGUCUUAUUUCAUGUUAUCAUUAUUGAUUCUCGGUCUAACCUCUCUCAGGAACAAUAUAGAUGUGUACUUACAACCCCUAGUAGAAGAACUAAAUGAGUUAUGAGAUGUUGGAGUAGAGACAUUCAAUGUGUCUUCCAAACAAUCAUUCCAAAUGCAUGCUGCACUAUUGUGGACCAUAAAUGAUUUUCCUACAUAUGGUGAUAUCUCGGGUUGGAGUACCAAAGGUGGUCUUGCAUGUCCCCCUUGUAACUAUAAUAGUUAGUCUCGUUGGUUAAGAUAUAGAAGAAAAUUUAGUUACAUUGGACAUAGGUGAUUCUUGGAUAAAGAUCAUAAAUUCCGUAGGAAAAAAAAAUCAUUUAAUGGGCAUGUUAAUAUGAGAUCAACUCCUAUUAUAGUAUAUGAAGGGGAAAUCAUGAUACAAUAUUUUUCAACUUGUUUUAUAGGGAGGACCAUGUGUUGCAUCACAAUCUUGACGUGAUGCAUAUUGAAAAAAAAUGCAGUCGAUAAUAUAAUUGGCACAUUGUUGAACUUGGAUGGCAAAACAAAGGAUAACUAGAAGGCACGCCAAGACUUAAGGAUAUAGGUAUAAGAAGUGAACUUCACUUGGAAAAGGUUGGGAAUGAUCAGACACGUAUGCCACAUGCCUACUACCAUAUGAAUGCUAGUGAAAAUGAUGGUUUUUUGCAAGUUUUGAAAGAUGUAAGGGUGCCAGAUGGUUAUUCUUCAAACAUCUCACGUUGCGUCAAACUCAAAGAACGCAAGAUUAGUGGGCUGAAGAGCUAUAAUAAUCACAUUUUAAUGUAGCAACUUUUUCCGAUAAGCAUUGAAGGAGGCACCGCCGCUUCCUCUAAUGCCUUCAAUCUUGCCACCACCUCCACCCUCCUAUCAAUCAUAUCUACACACACAAACACAAAACACAAUAAAAAAACCCUAACUUUCACACACACAUAUUAAGAGAGAUGUGAAAAGGUGGGACCUUAUGGGACAUCUUCAGUGUGGUAGAGGCUCUUGUGGAUGUCCAUGGCGUAAUCAACCAUGUUGGUUUUGUUGAGGAGCUCGAUCUUCUCUUUCAAGAUUUUGCCAUCCUUGUAGAGAUGACGCUUCUGGAGAAACUCGAGUAUUGGGAACACUAG